rnacentral:rRNA from 1 species
UACGGAGGGGACUAGCGUUGCUCGGAAUCACUGGGCGUAAAGGGCGCGUAGGCGGGGAGGUAAGUCGGGUGUGAAAUCCCUCGGCCCAACUGAGGAACUGCGCCCGAGACUGCUUCUCUUGAGUCCCGGAGAGGAAGAUGGAAUUCCCGGUGUAGCGGUGAAAUGUGUAGAGAUCGGGAGGAACACCGGUGGCGAAGGCGGUCUCUGGACGGUGACUGACGCUGAGGCGCGAAAGCGUGGGAGCAAACGGG